rnacentral:rRNA from 1 species
AACAGGAUUAGAUACCCUGGUAGUCCACGCCCUAAACGAUGUCAACUGGUUGUUGGACGGCUUGCUGUUCAGUAACGAAGCUAACGCGUGAAGUUGACCGCCUGGGGAGUACGGCCGCAAGGUUGAAACUCAAAGGAAUUGACGGGACCCGCACAAGCGGUGGAUGAUGUGGUUUAAUUCGAUGCAACGCGAAAAACCUUACCUACCCUUGACAUGCCUGGAACCCUGCAGAGAUGUGGGGGUGCCCGAAAGGGAGCCAGGACACAGGUGCUGCAUGGCCGUCGUCAGCUCGUGUCGUGAGAUGUUGGGUUAAGUCCCGCAACGAGCGCAACCCUUGCCAUUAGUUGCUACGAAAGGGCACUCUAAUGGGACUGCCGGUGACAAACCGGAGGAAGGUGGGGAUGACGUCAGGUCCUCAUGGCCCUUAUGGGUAGGGCUACACACGUCAUACAAUGGCCGGUACAGAGGGCUGCCAACCCGCGAGGGGGAGCUAAUCCCAGAAAACCGGUCGUAGUCCGGAUCGCAGUCUGCAACUCGACUGCGUGAAGUCGGAAUCGUUAGUAAUCGCGGAUCAGAAUGUCGCGGUGAAUACGUUCCCGGGUCUUGUACACACCGCCCGUCACACCAUGGGAGCGGGUUCUGCCAGAAGUGGGUAGCCUAACCGCAAGGAGGGCGCUUACCACGGCAGGGUUCGUGACUGGGGUGAAGUCGUAACAAGGUAACC